rnacentral:snRNA from 1 species
GCACUCCAGCAGCAGCACGUCUACUAAAACUAGAACAGCACAGAGGAUGUUAGCAUGGCUGCUGUGCAAGGAUAACACGCAAAUCCGUGGAGCAAUCUGCAGAACAU